rnacentral:lncRNA from 1 species
GCUGGCCAACAUCCACCAAUCAGGGACAGUCCAGUUCAUCAGGGUCAGUCUAGUACAGAGUGCAGGCCAACAUCCACCAAUCAGGGACGGUCUAGUACAGAGUGCUGGCCAACAUCCACAAAUCAGGGUCGAUCUGGUUCAGAGUGCUGGCCACAUCCACCAAUCAAGGACAGUCUAGUUCAUCAGGUCGGUCUAGUUCAGAGUGCUGGCAACAUCCAUCAUUCAGAGUCGGUCUAGACAGAUGCUGGCAACUUCCACAAUCAGGGUCGGUCUAGUCCGUCAUGUUUGUCUUGCUUUCUUCAGGGUCGUCUCUUUCUUCAGGUCGGUCUCGUUCUUCAGGGUCGUUCUCGUUCUUCCGGUCCGUCUCGUCUUCAGGGUCGGUCUCGUCAGCAGGGUCGAUCUAUCCAUCAGUGUCGGUCUAGUCCAAAGGGUCGUUCUUAGUACAGAGUGCUGGCAACAUCCAUCCAUCAGGGACGGUCUUGUUCAUCAGGGUCGGUCUUGUGCAUCAGUCGGUCUUGUCAUCAGGGUCGUCCUUGUUCAUCAGGGUCGGUCUUGUUUCAUCAGGUCGGUCUGUUCAUCGGGUCGGUCUUGUUCAUCAGGGUCGGUCUUGUUCAUCAGG